rnacentral:rRNA from 1 species
AACCAAAAGAUUAAAUUAUACUUUUAUGGUAAAAAGAUAGUUAGAUAAUAAUGUAUUUAGUUUAUUAAUUAUUUAUAUAGAGGUAGAAUUCAUAUAUAAAUAUAUAAUUUGAUAUAUAACAAAAUAAAUCGAGGCUAUGAAAACUUUGAGGGAAACUAGGAUUAGAUACCCUAUUAUUCUUGGUUGUAAAUAUAAUAAUUUAAAAUUAUUUACCGGAGCACUAAGAAUAAAUAAAUUUAAAACUCAAAGGGCUUGGCGGUGUUUUAGACCUCUCAGGGGAACUUGUUUCAUAAUCGAUAAUCCACGUAAAACCUGACCUUAUUUUGCUUAACAGUUUGUAUACCGUCGUCGUCAGGUAACUUUUAAGAAAUAAUAAGUUGGCUAGAAAAUUAAUUAGUUAAAACGUCAGAUCAAGGUACAGCCUAUAAUAAGGGGAAAAUGAGUUACAAUUAUGUAAUUAUAAUAGCGGAUAAUUUUAUUAAAAAAUUUUGAAGGAGGACUUGAAAGUAAAAUAUAUUAUAUAAAUAAUUUGAAUAAGGCUCUGAAACGUGC